AAAUCUGAGACAGCCUUGGUCUGAGGGAGCAAAGACAGAGAAUUCACGUGCUGCCCAGGCAUAGCCACAUAGCAGGUGGACAUCCCUGGACACUUUUCUGAGUGGCAGAGAUUGGCCUGGAACCCAGCUCACAAUAUGACCAUGGAAAAUUUUACAUAAGCUGAAGAUAAGUUCAAUUACACGAGUGAUUAUUAGAGUUGUCCCAUUGUUAUCUACAGAGGGGUGUGGAGCACGAGAGAAAGCACAGGCUUUGGUAUCAGAAUGAUGCUGGCCUCAUAAAAUGAGUUGGGGAGGAUUCCCUCUUUUUCUAUUGAUUGGAAUAGUUUCAGAAGGAAUGGUACCAGUUCCUCCUUGUACCUCUGGUAGAAUUUGGCUGUGAAUCCAUCUGGUCCU
rnacentral:lncRNA from 10 species